CCAGGAAAGUCUACAACUGUCCAGACAAAAUGAAGCCUUGAUAGCAGUGGUAGCCCUGCAGAUGUUACUGGACUACAACUCCCAUCAUCCGUAGGUCUUCUGAAAAUGAUGUCUAUAUGAACCUCCAGAGCCCUAAGAUCAAACACAGAGUACUUGCUCAGUGGCUCACCGCUAGGGAUGGAAUCCUCUUGUUGGUGCCUGUUUGAUUGCAUUCUGUCAAAUUGUCAAGCAGUUCCAUUUUGGAGUUGCCAACAGAGACAGAGACUAUUUUUCCAGUGCCAUAUUCCAUGUGGAUCUACUCACCGUUUAUUUGGUUAUUCGAGUUUUGCUCUUUUGAAAAUGUCACUAGUGGUG